GCCGAGUUGGGUAACAUCAGCUUAUAACCCAAGUGGGGGCACCAAGGUGAUGGAACAAAACUUUGGAUUAAUUAGGUUGGGUUGGUGGCUGCACCAUGCUGGCCUGCCCGCUCCAAGUUGAGAGUUGAACCAUGGGGUCUGAGCGAAGGCACAGGUUUCCUGGUUUCUAGACGAGGGGGUAUUGCGUGAGGCUGGUUUCACAGAGCAGCGAUCACCCCUGGCUCUUGACAGUGGAGGGAUUACAGGUUGCUUCACUUCCAGCCCAUAUAAACCUGAUGAUCCUAGCUCUUGAACCAUCACUUUU
rfam:Glycine max cultivar Williams 82 chromosome 10, whole genome shotgun sequence.